GGGUGCUCUCCCCACCUUCAGCAUGUGUGGCCCCUACCCUCCUCCUGAAACUCAAAGCUGUAUCUGAAGCCUCUGGACCCCUAAGGAGAAGGAAAUCCAGAAGACUGACAGGAGGUGUGAACUGGUUCUAAGUGUGUCUGAUCCCAAGAAAAAGAGAGUGAAGCAUUCUGGAAACUUCACUUCUCUACAAGAUGCUCUACAAGCCUUUUUCGGAGCAAACUCUCAAAGGUAUGACAGACAGAGGCCGAUUUGAAAAGAAACUCACAAUUGCCAGCGUGUCCCUUGUAUGAAUCCCACGGCUGGAAGUUUUUCUGUAAAUCGGCAUCUUCAGCCCAAGUCAGCCCCAGAUGUACAUCACCAAGAUAAAGAGGAUUUGAAGAACACUGUAUCUGAAAGCAUUACUGAGGCCAACAUGGAAGAGCUUUACAGCCAUCAGUUUCAGAGAUGUUUCAUGGCCUAGCAAGCCCC
ensembl:lncRNA